UACGAAGGGGGCUGGCGUUGCUCGGAAUCACUGGGCGUAAAGGGUGCGUAGGCGGGUCUUUAAGUCAGGGGUGAAAUCCUGGAGCUCAACUCCAGAACUGCCUUUGAUACUGAAGAUCUUGAGUUCGGGAGAGGUGAGUGGAACUGCGAGUGUAGAGGUGAAAUUCGUAGAUAUUCGCAAGAACACCAGUGGCGAAGGCGGCUCACUGGCCCGAUACUGACGCUGAUGCACGAAAGCGUGGGGAGCAAACAGG
rnacentral:rRNA from 1 species